rnacentral:rRNA from 1 species
AACGAACGCUGGCGGCAGGCCUAACACAUGCAAGUCGAGCGAGCAUUUCGGUGCUAGCGGCGGACGGGUGAGUAACGCGUGGGAACGUGCCCUUUUCUGCGGAAUAGUCCUGGGAAACUGGGGGUAAUACCGCAUACGCCCUUUUGGGGAAAGAUUUAUCGGAGAAGGAUCGGCCCGCGUUGGAUUAGGUAGUUGGUGGGGUAAUGGCCCACCAAGCCGACGAUCCAUAGCUGGUUUGAGAGGAUGAUCAGCCACACUGGGACUGAGACACGGCCCAGACUCCUACUGGAGGCAGCAGUGGGGAAUCUUAGACAAUGGGGGCAACCCUGAUCUAGCCAUGCCGCGUGAGUGAUGAAGGCCUUAGGGUUGUAAAGCUCUUUCAGCUGGGAAGAUAAUGACGGUACCAGCAGAAGAAGCCCCGGCUAACUCCGUG